rnacentral:rRNA from 1 species
AAUGAACGCUGGCGGCGCGCCUAAUACAUGCAAGUCGAGCGAGAAGACGUAGCAAUACGUUUGUAAAGCGGCGAACGGGUGAGGAAUACAUGGGUAACCUACCCUCGAGUGGGGGAAUAACUAGCCGAAAGGUUAGCUAAUACCGCGUACGCUCCUUGGACUUCGGUUCAGGGAGGAAAGCGAUACCGUGGGUAUCGCGCUCUUGGUUGGGCUCAUGUCCUAUCAGCUUGUUGGGAGGUAC